UUUUGUUCAGAUACUGGUCCU
rnacentral:piRNA from 1 species